rnacentral:piRNA from 1 species
UGAUAGAUUACAAGAGAUUGUGGCUUC